GAUGAAGAACGCAGCGAAAUGCGAUAAGUAAUGUGAAUUGCAGAAUUCAGUGAAUCAUCGAAUCUUUGAACGCACAUUGCGCCCGCCAGUAUUCUGGCGAGCAUGCCUGUUCGAGCGUCAUUUCAACCAUCAAGCCCCAGGCUUGUGUUGGAGCCCUGCGGCUGCCGCAGCCUCCCAAAACCAGUGGCGGGCUCGCUAUCACACCGAGUGCAGUAGUUUACUCUUCGCUCAGGGCGUGUGGCGGGUGCUAGCCGUGAAACCCCCAACUUCUCAAGGUUGACCUCGGAUCAGGUAGGAAUACCCGCUGAACUUAAGCAUAUCAAUAAGCGGAGGGA
rnacentral:misc_RNA from 1 species